rnacentral:tRNA from 1 species
GGCGUGGUGGUCUAGAGGUAUGAUUCCUUCUUAGGGUUCUUGACUCGUCUGGAGGAGGUCCCGGGUUCAAUUCCCGGCCAGGCCC